UGAUAGUCUGAUUCACCCUUUCAACUUU
rnacentral:piRNA from 1 species